UACGUAGGGUGCAAGCGUUGUCCGGAAUUACUGGGCGUAAAGAGCUCGUAGGUGGUUUGUCGCGUUGUUCGUGAAAACUCACAGCUCAACUGUGGGCGUGCGGGCGAUACGGGCAGACUUGAGUACUGCAGGGGAGACUGGAAUUCCUGGUGUAGCGGUGGAAUGCGCAGAUAUCAGGAGGAACACCAAUAGCGAAGGCAGCUCGCUGGGACGUUACUGACACUGAGGCGCGAAAGCGUGGGGAGCGAACAGG
rnacentral:rRNA from 1 species